rnacentral:rRNA from 1 species
UACGUAGGGCGCAAGCGUUGUCCGGAUUCACUGGGUGUAAAGGGUGCGCAGGCGGAUCUGUAAGUCAGAGGUGAAAUCUCACGGCUUAACCGUGAAACUGCCUUUGAUACUGCUGAUCUUGAGUUUGGGAGAGGUUGAUGGAAUUCCAGGUGUAGCGGUGAAAUGCGUAGAUAUCUGGAAGAACACCAGUGGCGAAGGCGGUCAACUGGCCCAUAACUGACGCUCAGGCACGAAAGCGUGGGGAUCAAACAGG